UAAAAGUGUGGUUCUGUUGUAAGGUCAGGAAGUGCAUGGGUAGGUGAGGUCAGAAGGUGGUAUAUACCCUUUCUAGAGGGAAACUUGGCCGUCUUUUGAAGAGCCUGAAGAAGGUUCCUACUCUUUGACCCACCUACCAGUACAUUUAAAGGAAUCAUAUAAGGAAAUAAUUAGGGCAUUAGACUUUUCUGUAGGGUGUUCAUUAAAAUGUUAUAAUACCCUUAAAACAAUCACAUAAGGAAUAGCUUUUAUGUUUUAGAAUUUUAACUGUUGCAUUUUAGAAGAAUUGAUAACAAUAGGGGAAUGCCUAUGAUAAAACAAAUGAAAAAAGUGGAUACAAAGUUAUGCUACCAGUUUUCUUUCUUUUGUUUUUUUGUCUUUUGUCUCUUUAGGGCUGCACCUGAGGCAUAUGGAGGUUCCCAGGCUCCGGGUCUAAUCAGAGCUGUAGCUGCCAGCCUACACCACAGCCACAACAAUGCGGGAUCCAAGCCAUAUCUGCGACCUACACCACAGCUCAUGGCAAUGCAGGAUCCUUAACCCACUGAGCGGGGCCAGGGAUUGAACCCAAAACCUUACGGUUCCUAGUUGGAUUUGUUUCUGCUGCACCAUGAUGGGAACUCAUAUAUAUUCUUAAAAUAUAUGUGUGCACAAACGUACACAGGAUUGGAAGAAAUAUGCCAAAAUAAUAUUUGCAAUAAUAUACCAAAAUAGGGUGGUUAGUCUUUGCUGAUGUGAUCAUGGGUAAUUUUUUCCUGUAUUUUCUAUGAUCACAAAUUACUUUUAUCAUUUUAGAAAAAAAAAAUCCAAUUGCAUGGACUAGGGAGUGGGGGAAGGAAGGAUUGGGAAUUUGGGAUUAGCAGAGGCAAAGUAUUAAACACAGAAUGAAUAAACGACAAGGUCCUACUGUAUAGCAAAGGGAACUAUAUUCAAUAUCCUGUGAUAAACCAUAAUGGAAAACCAUAAUGGAAAAGAAUAUAAAAAAGGAUGUAUACUGAGUUACUUUGCUGUACAGCACAAAUUAACACAACAUUGUAAAUCAACUGUACUUCAAUGAAAUUUUUUUUAAAAACCUAAGCCAAACAAAAAAAUCCAAUUGCAUGGAUAACUUAUCCAACUUCAGUUGCUGUCAGCCUUCCAUGUCCUUUUGUAAGGCAUUUAUUACACCUUUUAGAGUGAUCAUAUCUUUGUAAAUAUGCUGUAUUUCUGAAUUUAGGGCAGGAAUUGGCUUUUGGCUUAUAUUUCCUCUUUUUAUAUAUCACUAGAUCAUUGGAUUUUUUGUUAUUCAUGAAAGACACUGCCAUUGUCAUUACUUUGCCUUGGGACUCUAGAUAACUAGAAUGGUACUAGAGGAAUAGUAUUCAUAACAGUUAACCAAAAAUAGGUGUCCUCGGACAUACAGAAUAGUUACAUUUCAGUUAAGCCUUCUCUAAGUGGCUUUUUUUUUUUUUUUUUUCCUUUUGUCUUUUCUAGGGCCACACCCAUGGCAUAUGGAGGUUCCCAGGCUAAGUGCUGAAUUGGAGCUGUAGCCGCUGGCCUAUGCCACAGUACACCACAGCUCACGGCAAUGCUGGAUCCUUAACCCACUAUGUGAGGCCAGGGAUCGAACCUGCAACCUCAUGAUUCCUAGCCGGAUUCGUUAACCACUGAGCCAUGACGGGAAUUCCUAAGCCUUCUCUAAAGCAAAUUCCUGUAAUGUAAACUUAUUCAUUUCCAUUAUAGGUGUAGGUCCAUUUCUACAGAAAAAUUGAACUGAAAAGUUUUGCCAGUAGGUUAAACUAUUGUCUUUCCUAUAGCAUAAGUUCUGCAAGUACAUCCUACUUGGCAAUAGCCUGGUUUCCCACUUAAAACUCCCAGAGGAUGUCUUCCUUUCUUCCCUUGCACGUGUGUAGUAUUGGAUAUGAGCGAGGAGUUCCACCACCGGUAUGUAGAGUAUAGCCAACCUAAAAAUUGCUUAGCUUUCUACUUGAAAUAUUUUCAAGGUUUACUUAGAAUAAAAUGGGUAUGUAACUCUGCACUGAGCAAAGGGAAGUUUGUUCAUACAUUUCCAUCUCAGAAGUUCUAAUUAGUUGCUAAGUAGUGCUUGUCAGUUAUCCACUAAAUACCUGUUUUCACGGGGCACAGUAUUACAUACUAUGUAAAUAAUAUCACUAAUUUAGAUAGAUCUAGCUUGCUAUGUAGAAAUGCUUGACUUUGACAGUAUUUUCUGAAAGCUGGAAUUAACCUCAAAUGCAAAGCUAGUUAAUGAAAAAUUUUUAGUAGAUACCUCUGUUGGGGGUAAUUAUUUAGAUUAAUGAUUGCCAAGUUUAUUGUUGUGUAAGAAGACAGUUUGGUCUGUGGGUAAAAUUUUGCCACCUUCAUUUAAACCUGUUUAUUUUUUUCUUUUUCUUUCUUUUUUUUUUUUUUGCUUUUUAGGGCUGCACCUGCAGCACAUGGAGGGUCCCAGGCUAGGGGUCCAAUCAGCGCUACAGCUGCCAGCCUACACCACAGCCACAGCAAUGCCAGAUCUGAGCCAUGUCUUCCACCUACACCACAGCUCACAGCAACACUGGAUGCUUAACCCACUGAGCGAGGCCAGGGAUGGAACCUGCAUCCUCAUGGUUUCCAGUUGGAUUCAUUUCUGCUGUGCCACAGCGGGAACUCCAAACCUGUUUACAUUUAUUUUGGAGAAAAGAAACCAGACAUUUCUGGUUUAUAAUAGCUCUGCAGAAGUCAGUAGUCCCAAUUUAAGUUAAUUUUAACUCUUAACAGGUAAAGAUCAAUGAUCUGGGUCUGGUUGAUACUAGAGUAGGAGAAUAAUUUAGGCUCAAAUUCAUAUACUCAUUUUAUUCAAAUUGAUUUCAUCUGGGUGGGAGAGAUUGGCAUUCACCACCACUUGGUGUCCUCAUAGAUUUCUCAGUAGUUGUACAUAAAUGGGAUGGGGAUAUCUGAUCUAGCUGGCGUCCUGAAACUGUUGAUUUAUAUGAUUACAGAAUAAUAUCUUGGGUGAUUAUUAGGUGACACAGGGAAAAGAGAAAAGGAAAAGAUAAGUAAGGUAAGGAGGAGGGUAGGAGAUAAGGAGAGAAUAAAAGGAAAUCAAAGGUUUAUUUCUUGAAAUAGUGUGGGGAAGAUGAAUUUUAAAAAGAAUAAACAGGCGUUCCCGUCGUGGGUCAGUGGUUAUUGAACCUGGCUGGUUUCCUGGCCUUGCUCAGUGAAUAGGGAUCCGGUGUUGUCGUGAGCUGUGGUGUAGGUUGCAGACAUGGCUCAGGUCUGGCAUUGCUGUGGUGUAGGCUGACGGCUACAGCUCUCAUUCAACCCCUAGCCUGGGAACUUCCAUAUGCCUUGAGUGCAGCCCUAAAAAGAUAAAAGACAAAUAAAUAAAUAAACAGGAGUUCCUGUUGUGGUUCAGUAGAUUAAGAACCCAAUAUAGUGUCUGUGAGGAUUCGAGUUUGAUCCCUGGUUUUGUUCAGUGGGUUAAGGAUCCAGCAUUGCUGGUAAGUGUGGCAUAGCUUGCAGUUGCAGCUGAGAUCUAGUGUUGCUGUGGCUGUGGUGUAGGCUGGCAGCUGCAGCUCUGAUUUGACCCCUAGCCUGGGAACUUCCAUAUGCUGCAGGUGGGGCCAUAAAAAGAAAAAAAAAAAAAAAAAAGAAUAAACAAAGCAGAGAGUCAGGGCAAAAAUAGUGACACAGAGAAUAGAAUGAAGUAAAGGAAAAAAAAUUUUUUUCUGAGUUUGGACUAUGAAGGUAAUAAUGACCUAGUUUUUAUAUUCUUGGGAAUGUAACCUUGGUCCCAAAACUUGUGAACUUUCUGAGUAGGUGGGCUUUCCAAGCUGCUGGACCUUCUGUGCUAGAUUUAUUUUGCCCUACUUAGCAGGAAUCCUACUUAAUUUUAUGGCUGUACCUUUGGCAUAUGGAAGUUCCAGAGCCAGGGAAUGAAUCUGAGCUGCAGCCGUGACCCUAUCCCCACUGUGCCAGGCGGAGGAUCAAAAUGCACCUCUGCAGCAACCCAAGGCACUGCAGUCGGAUUCCUAACCCAUUGCCCCAAGGUGGGAACUUCUGGCUUUUUCAUUUUUAAUAUUCUGGUUGUUGUGUUACUGUUUGCAUUUGUAGAGAUUGUUGUUGCUAUCUACCCUCUCAAGGUAGGAUAGAUAAAACAGUUUUUGUAGUCUUCCUUGAGUGUGGAUAUCUUGAAAAUUUGCUUGAAAAUAAAUCUAUGCUAGUGCUAUACAACUGUGCAUUUGUCAAAACUCAUAGAACUGUGUACCAAAAAGUGAAUUUUAUUCUACAUAAAUUAAAAAAUAUAUUUUAAUGUACAAAUAUGGUAAGAAAAUUAAGUUGAAAACCAGAGAGGUGGUAGACAACUAGGUAUAUAUUUGGUUACUUUGUUGGUAUAAAACUUGGGAAAUUUUUAAUUGGUGGGAAGAUAGAUUUUUAUGCUUCAAAAUUUAGACUUUAGAAACACAUUUGAAGGAAGAAAUGAAUCUUGGAAAACUUGUUUGCCUUUGUACUUAAUUUAACAUUGGUUAAGUUGAAAGUUUAUGACCAGCAAACAAUAAUUUCAUUCCCAUUAAGUUUCUUGAUGUCUUAUUGGGAAAAAAAAUGUCCCCCAAAAGAGGGGAUAUUACAUACAUAGUUUCUUCAAAGGAGUAAGCUUAAUUGAUUUAGAUUUUUAUCUGUUGGCCAUACUUUAAGAAAAGGAUCUAGAAGUUCCUUUACUGUGAAGCACAGCCUUCACUUAGACUGAAAAUCUUAUUAUGUAUUUUCCUUUAAAACCUUUAAGGCAACAAAUCUGCCAUGGUUUCUUGGAUUCUUGGCUAAUAUGUCUCAUUUUUCAAAGUCAGCUGUGGUCACAUAGUUUUGUCAUAAAGGUUUGAGUAUAAAGCUAAGAAAAGAAAAUAGAGUUAGUUUUAGUAUGAAUGAAAAUGAGAAUCUUUAUAAACCAAAAUUUCUAAGUCGUAUCACUAAAAACAGAAAAAUAGGAUCUACUCUGAUUUUUCAUGCAGUUGUUGUUUUUUUUUUUAAGGGUCUUUCUAAAUAGUAAUUUUUUUCCUCUGGUCCAUUUUAAGAGCUAUAAGUUGAUUAUGGCUUUGGGAUAGCUGUUUAUUAUUUCUGAAUUUUCCUGUGUGUGACAUUUUCCUUUUGAUCAUAUUUGAUUCCCUUAAAAUUCUUCUUGGCCCCAACUGCAGUAUUCUUCUCAGUUUUCUUCAAAGUUUCUCUUUGUCUUGGGUGUCCUUUUUCUCCUCAUUGCCAAAACACUUGGUAUCUUUUGCGUUUCUUAUUUAAUAUGCUUGGAUAGGAUUCUCUGGAAAUACUAACCUUGCAAGGAUGAGUAAAUCAGGUUUACUUUAUUGAAUGCUGCCACUACUGCUUUCCUAUUUCUCCUGUUUACUCUAAAAUCUAGCCUUAGCGAAGAAUUUUUAGGUGAAAGAUGAUAGCAGUGGAGUUGAUAAAGUGUAGAACCAGGACUAGGGAUGGAGGAUCAUCAAAAGUUUUCCUCCUUUGUUCUGAAGGGUCAGAAUGUUUUACAGCUGCUUGAUAAUUUCUCUUAGCACGCUAACCUCAUUCUCUAUAGGUAUUCUAUUCCCAAUGCUUUUCAAAGUUUGUAUGAUUUCUCAUGUCACAAAAUAUUUUUUGGAAAAAUAAGCUCACCAUACAUCUUUGCCAUAAGACACUAAACUUGAUAGAAUACUCUUUCAGUUAAUUCUAUAUCUAUGUGUAUUAUUUAUUAUACAUGUAUUACACUUAAUAUAAAACCAUAAGCUAAUUAGUCCUGCAAUCUGAACUUGUCCUUUUUUUUUUUUUUUUUUUUGCCAUGCCUGGAAUGUGGAAGUUUCUGGAACAGGGAUGGAACCUGCACUACUGCUAUAACUGGAGCCACUGCAGUGACAACGCCGGGUCCUUAACCCACUGAACCUUCAGGGAACACCUGAGCUUAUUUUUUAAAUACUAUUUAUCUUCUAGAUUGUAGCUCCAAUUGUGAUUCUUAAAAUUACUGUCAAAAGUUACUUACUUUUGGUUAUAAGAUGGCACACAGAUUGUUAGACCUUAUUUUAUUUAUUAACUUGGUGAAAAUGUAAUACAUAUAUCCCUCAGUAAACUGAAGAAGGACAUAUUUAUCACUAUUUUUGGUUUUAAAACUUUAGGGAAGAAGUUCCCAUUGUGGCUCAGCAGUAACGAACCUGACUAGUAUCCUUGAGGAUGUAGGUUCGAACCCUGGCCCCACUCAGUAGGUUAAGGAUCCAGCAUUGCUGUGCGCUACAGUGUAAACUGCAUUUGUGGCUCAGAUCUAGCAUUGCUGUGGCUGUGGUGUAGGCUGGCAGCUCCGACUUGACCUCUAGCCUGGGAACUUCCAUAUGCCGCGGGUGCGGCCCUAAAAGAAAAAAAAAAAAGAAUAAAUUUGUAGGAGUUCCCACUGUGGCACAGUGGGUUAAGAACCCUAUUGCAGGUACAGAUUGCCAUGAAGUGUGGGUUUAAUGCCCAGCCCAUUGCAAUAGAUUAAAGGACCAUGCAUUGCCGCAGCUGUGGCUUGGAACUUCAAAAUGCUUUGGAUGUAAACAUUCCAAAAAAAAGAAUAAACUUACUUUGAGAAAUGGUAUACUGUAGCUCAGAAAUCUCAAAUAUUCUGGUCAUAGGACCCUAUUUCACUCCUAAAAAUUGAGGCUCCCAAGAGCUUUUGUUUAUACGUGUAUUAUGUAUAAAUAUUUACUCUAUUAGAAAUUAAAACUGAGAAAAAAAUAUAACUCAUUUAAAAUAACAAUGAUAAACCUGUUAUAUGUUAUAAACUGAAAAAUAACUUUUUCAAAACAGUUGUGAGAAGGGUGGCAUUGUUUUACAUACUUAUAGAGGUCUUUAAUGAAUUGCUAUUUAAUAGAAAACUGGAGUCUUUUAUCUGCUUCUGCAUUGCACUCAUUGCAGUAAGUCAUUUUGGUUGAAGUACCCAAAAAACAAAAUCUGGUUUGGCCUUGCGCAGAUAGGAAGUUGGUGAAGGGAAGAAUAUUUUAAUGGCCUUUUCGGAUAACUGUGGAUCUUCUUUGAUACUAUACCAAAACACAAGUGGUAGUUCCUUAAAAGUUAGUUACAGUAUGGAAUCUGAAAUCAUGUUUUUGAACAUAAUGGCUUUAUGAUCUUUCACCCAUGCGUGAUGUGUAAUAUGCAUUGGUGACUUGAACAAAUUAGUUCACUGUGUAAUGUAGAUCUCCAAAUAUUAACAUAUUUCAUUUACACAAUGAUCUCUCCCCUAAAAAACCUAAAACCCACAUUUGUCAAUAUCAACACAUUUGAUUUGAAAAGUCUUUAAGCUCUUAGGUAGCAAGUAUAUUUUCAAAAACCCAAUUUUCACUCCAAAAAUUGAUCUUUAUCCUUGGCAAGAAAUACUAUCAUUUGUUUUCCUUGAGGUAAUGGGCUCAUUUUGUUCAUUUUCAAGAACAUGUCUGCCAGGGGUUCCUGCUGUGGUGCAGUGGGUUAAGGAUCAGGCUUGUCUCUGUGGAGGCGCCAGGUAGAUCCCCAGCCCAGCACAGUGGGUUAAGGAUCUGGUGUUGCUGCAGCUGUGGUGUAGGUUGCAGCUCUGGCCUGGAUUCGAUCCCUGGCCUGGGAACUUCCCGAAAAAAAAAGAAAGGAAAGAAAGUCUGCACAGCCAUAAUUUGUCAUUUGUUGUUGCAAGUAAAAAUGCUGUUCCAUGAACGCAACAGCUGGUUGAGCUUGCAACUCAAUCACCUAAUUGCUUUUCCUCCAAACAGUAUCUGCUGGUAUGCAACAUAAGUGCUUGGCGUUUACUUCAUAUUUUGUUACACAAGAUAUUAAAGAGACAUGUACACAAGGAUCAAGAUUUAAUAAAAUGAAUGAUUUUUACUGCUUCAUCCAGAACAUUCUAAAUUAACACUGGCUGCCCCCACCCAUGCCCCAUUGUGGGUGUGUGGUGGUGAAAAAUACAGUGACCAAGAGUCCAGUUUGGUGCUACCUCUUGCCUUGUUUGAUUCUUUCUAGGGCUCCAGCAGUAUCUACUCACUAUUGCUUUUACAGUACAUUGUCAACAUUGUGCCAAAAGUAAAUAACAUCUUAGUAUUACUAUGAAAAUAGAAUUGUCCUCACAGAUGCCCUGGAAUGGUCUUAGGGACCCUUCUGCCUACCAGGUCCUGAGAACUUAACUGCUCUAGACAGCAUAAGUGGCUUUGAUUACUAUUACAGUGGUUUUAAAUAUUCAUUUAGUUCUCUAGGGAAGAAUGAAUUGCAACUCUCAUUUUCUGUUUUUACCUCCGAUUUUAAUAAUUGUAAUCUUACUUUUGAAAUAGAAAAAUAUGCCAAUUUUUAAUAAAAGUCUACAUGAGGCUACAUGCUUAGAUUUAUAUUCGGUGCUUUUUUCUUUAAAUAGCAUACCAUUUUAUAAUUGUGGGCCCAGACUAAAGAACUCAUUCUUUUCAGACACUGAGUGGCUUUGUUUCUGACAGCUAGUAGUCAGCUCUGUUUUAAAACAAGCAGUUGGGUUCUGCUGGCUCAACUUGCAGUUGUCCUAGUCCUAACCCUGUCUCAGCCAAAGACUGUUGUUGGAAAGCCCACACAAAGGCCUUGUGUACAGGGAGUCCUACUAAUAAGGAGCAUGUUUGAGUCCCAGCAGAUUAAAUCUGCUUUGGUGUGCAUUCCCUUCCUAAAUUUCUUUUAUUUCCUUUGUUUGACUGGUUAUUUCAGUGAAAGAUCAUUUGUGAUGACUGUAAAGAUAGUUUCUUCUAAUUAUUCCAUAGUCUGGAGGGGAUCACUGGAUGUAAAAUGAAAUGUUUCUUUCUCUCUGGUAGGAGAUGUGAUGGAGCUGCUGGAAGAAGAUCUCACGUGCCCAAUCUGUUGCAGUCUGUUUGAUGAUCCUCGAGUUUUGCCUUGUUCACACAACUUCUGCAAAAAAUGCUUAGAAGGGCUCUUAGAGGGGAAUGUGCGGAAUUCACUGUGGAGAUCGUCUCCAUUCAAGUGCCCCACAUGCCGUAAGGAAACUUCAGCUACCGGAGUCAAUAGCCUACAGGUUAAUUACUCCCUCAAAGGUAUCGUGGAAAAGUAUAACAAGAUCAAGAUCUCUCCCAAAAUGCCAGUGUGCAAAGGACACUUGGGGCAGCCUCUCAACAUUUUCUGCCUGACUGACAUGCAGCUCAUUUGUGGGAUCUGUGCUACUCGUGGUGACCACACCAAGCAUGUCUUCUGUUCUAUUGAAGAUGCCUAUGCUCAGGAAAGGAAUGCCUUUGAGUCCCUCUUCCAGAGCUUUGAGACCUGGCGUCGGGGAGAUGCUCUUUCUCGCUUGGAUACCUUGGAGACUAGCAAAAGGAAAUCUCUACAGUUACUGACUAAAGAUUCAGAUAAAGUGAAGGAGUUUUUUGAGAAGUUACAACACACAUUAGAUCAAAAGAAGAAUGAAAUCCUGUCUGACUUUGAGACCAUGAAACUUGCAGUUAUGCAAGCCUAUGACCCAGAGAUCAACAAACUCAACACCAUCUUGCAGGAACAGCGAAUGGCAUUUAACAUUGCUGAGGCUUUCAAAGAUGUAUCAGAACCCAUCGUAUUUCUGCAACAGAUGCAGGAGUUCCGGGAGAAAAUAAAAGUAAUCAAGGAAACUCCUUUGCCUCCCUCUAAUUUGCCCACAAGCCCUUUAAUGAAGAACUUUGAUACCAGUCAAUGGGAAGACAUAAAACUAGUAGAUGUGGAUAAACUUUCUUUGCCUCAAGAUACUGGCACAUUCAUUAGCAAGAUUCCUUGGGGCUUUUAUCAGUUAUUUGUGGUAGUCAUUCUUCUUGGCCUUCUCAUUUUCUUUAGUCCUACCAUAUUCCUCGAAUGGUCUUUAUUUGAUGAAAUCACAACUUGGAAAGACAGUCUUUCAAACUUUAGUUCUUAUCUGACUAAAUCAGCUGAUUUUGUAGAACAAUCAGUUUUUUACUGGGAACAGUUGACAGAUGGGUUUUUCAUUUUCAGUGAAAGACUGAAGAAUUUUACUUUGGUGGUGCUGAACAAUGUGGCAGAAUUUGUGUGCAAAUAUAAACUAUUAUAAAAUCUGUUUCAAGGACAUAGUUCUGUGUCUUUUGUUAGAAAUUUGAUAGAAUACAGAGUGGUAGAGUUCAGAUGUGGUCAAGAUUCUAGGGAGAUAUCUUCCUCCAAAAGUAUACCUUUCAAAAAUAAUGUCUUAUACAUGUCUUUGAAAUUAGGUAGCAUAAAGAUAAAAGUGAAAUUUAAUAGUGUAGGCCCAAACCUUCCUUCCUUUUUAGAGUGCUUUUGAAAUAAGCAUCCUGUCCCCAAUAUUGGUUGUGUUUUUGUUAUGAAAAAAGGGGAGGUGAGAGCACACGAUUUAGUAUUGUACUGAUGAGGUAGUAUAAUAAUGAUUGUUCUUAAGCAUGUAAUAAAGACUACUCUUGUAAAGCCACUUUUUUUGGAGAGUGUACAUUCUUUAAAAAAGGAUUCAGAUGUGAUGGAUUCCCAACUUUUUCUGCAGAGGGUUGAUUUUCUUUUUUCUGAUAUAGUGUAAAUCUCAUGUAACCAAAAACUGGCAUUUUCUUUACUAAGUUUACAUUUUUAGGAGGGUAGAGUUUUAUUUCAACUUGCCUUUUAUCUGCUUAGGUUUUGUAAAUUUAUCAUGAAAGGAAUUUGGUGGUAAACUACAAAAGUGUUAGGCAGUUGUACAAGCAAAGGCACAGGUUACAAAAAAAAGGACAUGGCAAGAGCAGGAAAUGGGAAAGACUUUUUUAUUGGCAGCUAGGUAUUGUUCCAAAGUAUCAAUGGCAACUGUCCAGCCAGUUGAUUCACUUGUUUAAGACUUUUUUUCUCUUUUUGGCCAUAUCAGCCGCAUGUGGAAGUUCCCAGGGCCAGGGAUCAAACCCACGCCACAGCAGCAACCCAAGCCCUAGCAGUGACAACACUGGAUCCUUAAUCUCCUGUGUCACCAGAGAACAACCAAAGAAUUUUUUUAAGAGUAGUAAGCCUAAUUUGACAGUCAGAUAGCAAAGUACAUAGCAAUCAGCUAAACACUAAUGCUGUCCUAUCUGCUCACGGGAGAUUAAGAUGCCCUAUCUCUCACAGGACAAAACACUUAAUUUUUUCACCGAGUUUAGAAUUCACAUGAAAACAAGAAGUGACUUAUCUUAGAACUGCUUUCAGUCAAUCUUAUUUCUGUCAUGGGACAAGACAUUCCUUUGACAGCCCAGAGUAUCUUUACCCGAAUCCAUUAGUUUGGGUGAGAGAAAGUAACACAAGCAGGGACUGGAGAGAAAGGUGGCAACUAAAUUUAAAGUACGGAAGAAUCAUUCUAGCUAUGAGAAGAGUCAAAGCUGCUAGUUGAGCUAAUGGUUCCCUUGUCCCCAACUGAUAGCCCAUGAUUUAGUCACUAAAUUGCUAAAGAAAUAAGACAAUAUUUCUCUGUAAAUCCUACCUCUCCCAUAUGGACUCACAGCAGAUAAGAGAUCUGGGAAGGGGAAUACUUUUCUGCUCCUGAUAUUUUUUUUUUGGCCAUGCCCACCACAUGUAGAAGUUCCCAGGUCAGGGACUGAACCUGCACCAUGGCAGCAACCUGAGCCACUGAACACUGGAUCCUUAAUCCACUGUGCCACAAGGGAACUCCCUGUAUAUAUAUUGAACAGUAGAUUUAGAUGAGGUUUUCAUGAAGGAUUUUUUUUUUUAAAUGGGAUACAGUAAAGGAAUCAAUGUGACACCUGUCCUCAGAUAUAUUGGCCAUUUCCCUUAACUAUCCAGUUCCUCAUCUUGCUUUUUCAUUUUGUAUACUGCAAGUUCCCAAGCAACUCUCAGAUUGUAAACAUGGCUAUGGAUACACUAUUUGCUUUACAAUAGUUACCUGGAAAUCUAGGUCUCUGUUUGUAUUUUCCCCUCCCCCACAUUUCUUAAUCAUACUUAACAGCAUUUGUGGUUAUAGGUGAUUUAUAAAUUCCUAAGUGUGUCAUGGUUUGUAGCCUCCAGUUUGAAGCAAAAGAAUGAGUACUCAGGAACUGGUCACUUUGAAUGUGGGAGGAAAGAUAUUCACCACAAGGUCUUCAACCAUAAAGCAGUUUCCUGCCUCUCGCCUGACACGAAUGUUGGAUGGCAGAGACCAAGAAUUCAAGAUGGUUGGUGGCCAGAUUUUUGUGGACAGAGAUGGUGUUUUAUUUAGUUUCAUCUUAGAUUUUUUGAGAACUCACCAGCUUUUAUUACCCACUGACUUUUCAGACUAUCUUAGGCUUCAGAGGGAGGUUCUAUUCUAUGAACUUGAUCCUCUGGUGGAUCUCUUAAACCAAGAACACCUGCUACAGCCGAAACCUGCUCUUGUGGAGGUGCAUUUCCUAAGCAGAAACACUCAAGCUUUUUUCAGGGUGUUUAGCUCUUGCGGCAAAACAAUUGAGAUGCUAACUGGGAGGAUUACAGUGUUUGUAGAGCAAACUUUGGUGGCACCGACCUGGAGUAGUAACUCCUUCCCUCCUCAGAUGACCUUACUUCCACUGCCUCCACAGAGACCUUCUUACCAUGACCUGGUAUUCCACUGUGGCUCUGACAGCUCUACAGACAACCAAUCGGGAAUCAGGUAUGUUUCUAUAAAACCUGAUAACCGAAAACUGGCCAAUGGAACAAAUGUACUCGGCUUACUGAUUGACACUUUAUUAAUGGAAGACUUCCAUCUGGUCAGCACCAGAACAGCAUCCUCUGAAGACAAAACUGAAUGCUAUAGCUUUGAAAGGAUAAAAAGGUCUGAAGCUCUCACCAUGAACAAAACACUGAAACCAGGGACUAUCCUCAUGCCACAGCAAUCUGAGAAAAAGAAAUGAAGUUUUCAUUCUCUUUUAGAGCAAAGAUAAAUUGUCAUUUUUUUGGUUUUGAAAUUUCACAUUUAGGGAUAUAUGUUAAUCAAAUAGGUACUCAGCCUAACUUUUUGGCCUUGUCCUCUACUGUGCCACCUUGGAGCAACCACACCUUACCAAUACUUAAGCCACAUUAAGCGCUUGCUGCUCUCUAAACACCAUGUACUUGGUACUUUGAUGCAUGUUCCUUCUACCUUCAAUGCCUCUUUCCCUUUCUCUUCUUCAUGAACACUUAUACAGCAUUCAAGAAUGGGCUAUGUAAUCAGACUGCUUGAUUUCUAAUCCCAACUCAAUCACUUAGUAGCUAUACAACUUGGGCAAGUCAUUAUUUAAUCUCUCUAUGCUUCAAUUUCCUCAUCUAUCAAAUGAGGAUAAUAAAUAUCUCCCUUAUGUGACAAAUGAGGCUCGAAAAAGAUAAUGUAAAAUACUCAGUGCAUUGCCUGGCACAUGGUAGGCACUCAGCAACUGUCAGUAAUGAUGAUGAUGAUUCUGAAGAUAGGUGGCCACUUUCAAUUGCACCUCUUCUGUGAGGUCUUAUUUUCCUCCUUUCCCAGGGAUAUUAAUUAGCUCUUUUCACUACAUAGACUUUUGUGCCAUCAUAAAAACAAAUUUUUCUUUUUCUUUCUUUCUUUCUUUUUUUUUUUUAGGGCUGCACUUGUGGCAUAUAGACGUUCUCAGGCUAGGGGUUCAGUUGGAGCUAUAGCCACCAGCCCACACCACAGCCAGAGCAACACAGGAUCCAAGCCUCGUCUGCGACCUACACCACAGCUCAUGCAACUCCAGAUCCUUAACCACUGAGCAAGGCCAGGGGUCAAACCUGUAACCUCACAGUUCCUAGUUGGAUUCAUCUCCACUGAGCCACAACGGGAACUACUAAAAACAAAUUCUUCUCACUUGAAUGUGAGCUCAAUCUACUCAACAAUUUUUUUUUUUGGUCUUUUUUUUUUUUUUUUCUAGGGCUGUACCCGCGGCACAUGGAGGUUCCCAGGCUAGGGGUCUAAUCCGAGCUCUAGCCACUGGCUUAUGCCACAGCCACAGCAACACGGGAUCCAAGCUGCGUCUGCGACCUACUCCCCAGGUCACAGCAAUGCCGGAUCCUUAACACACUGAGCAAGGCCAGGGAUCGAACCCACAACCUCAUAGUUCCUAGUCGGAUUCGUUAACCACUGAGCCACGAUGGGAACUCCUCCUAUUCAACAAUUUUAACACCAGUAUGUGUAAAGCACUGUGCUAAACAUUUUGUGAGAAAAAUAAUACCUUUUUUACUAAGUAGUACCUACUUUGGUGAAAAGCUAUAACUUCUACUAACAGUUAAAAUACAAAUAUUGGAGUUCCCAUUGUGGCUCAGUGAGUUAAGAAUUCAACUAGUAUCCAUGAGGAUGUGGGUUUGAUCUCUGGCUUUGCUCAGUGGGUUAAGGAUUUGGUGAUGCUGCAAGCUGCGGCAUAGAUUGCAGAUGUGGCUUAGAACUGGCAUUGCUGUGGCUAAGGUGUAGGCCAGCAGCUGCAGCUCCAAUUCAACCCCUAGCCUGGGAACUUCCAUAUGCCAUAGGUGCAGCUGUAAAAUACAUUCCUCUGACUUAGUGAGUCCUCUUGUAGGAAUUCCUUUUAUAUAUGUGUCAUUUAAAAUAUUGGGACAGGAGUUCCUGCCAUGGCACAGUGGGUUAAGAAUCUGACUGCAGUGGCUAGGGUCGCUACAGAGGUGCACAUUCAAUCCCUGGCCCGGCACAGUGGUUUAAAGCAUCUGGAGUUGCUGCAGCUGCAGUGUAGGUCACAGCUGUGGCUCAGAUUCACUCCCUGGUCCAGGAACUUCCAUAUGCUGUGGGUGUGGCCAUUAAAAAUAUAUAUAUUAGGAUAAACAUCUAGAAAGGGAAUCAUUAAAUCAAAAAGCACCAAGCACUUUGCACACAGGUUAAAAACAUCCAGUGCAGGCAGGAAGUCAAGCACCAUUUUAAAAAGUACAAUUCAUUCAUUCAAAAAUAUCUUAAACAUUUGUUGGAGACUAUACUAACUUUUCAGAAUUAAAAUAUGAGUAAGACAAAAAUAUUUAUUCUGGAGUUCCCUUGUGGUGCAGCGGGUUAAGGAUGUGGCAUUGUCACUGCAGUGGCUCAGGUUGCUACUGUGGCACAGGUUUGAUCCCUGGCCUGGGAACUUACACAUGCUGCAGGCACCACUAAAAAAAUUCUAAUUCUCAAGGAACUCACAAAUGAGAAAGUAUAUCAUCAUAAGAGCAAAAUUAGAAAUAAACUCAAAGUUCAUCAAUAGGGAAUGGGUAAAUUAUAGUUCAAACAAUGAAAUACUGUGCAGCCUUUAAAAAGAAUGCAGCAGCAGCUUAUGAACUCACAAGGAAGAAUUGUCAAAUAUUUAUAAGUUGAAAAAAGUGAAGUGUAAGACAAUGUAUAAAUUAGGAAAAUAUAUAUCCACUUUAUAUACAGUAUAUAGUUUUCAUUUGUGGAAAAAUAUAUAAUACUCAUAUUAGAUAUUGGUCACCUCUGGAGAGGGAACUGAGUGAGAUUUAGGUGGGGGAGGAAGACUUACUUUUCACCAGACUAGGUAGGUUUAUUUCUUUAAAAAGGAAGAAAAAGCCAUACCUGAAAGAUUGUGUGUGUGUGUGUGUGGGUUAGAGGGACUGUUAUUACAUAGUAUGGGCUAUUAUCUCAUACAGACACAAAUUUUAUUCUGUGACCCUUCCUGUAAAACCCCUACCUUUAGUAAAGAAAUUUAAAAAAAUUUUUUAAAUUUAUUAUUAUUAUUAUUGCUGUAGCAUGCAUGUAGGAGCUUGACAUGAGAUCUCAGUUUCCAGACCAGGAGUAGAACCCAGGCCACAGCAGUGCUAGUGCUGAAUCCUAACCACUAGACCACCAGGGAACUGCCUAGUAAAGAAAUUUUUAGUAAUUACCUACAGAUUUGUAUAAGUUAUAGGGAAUAAGUUUUUUAAAAAUUUCCUAAUAGUACCUCAAAAAGUUAUAUAUCACGGAAAAGUGCAAGAUACUUCACGAUUGGUAAUGUUAAGGUCAGCAACUGAAAACAAAGACCCAAAUAAGAAAAAAAAAGCCUUUUGACUGUUUUGUUUUUAGUGGCAUUUACCCCUUUUUUACAGCAGAAGAGCCAACUUAGUUGUUUUAGUCUCUCAUCUUAGUUUUGGGGAUGAUGUAUCUGGUCUUGUUCCCUUGCUAGCAUCAUAUUCUAAGGUACAAUAUUUCUACAUUGCUAAGUUUUUUGCAUGUAUGUGAUUUAACUAACUGGGUAUAGUUGGCAUGGUUUUAUGUGUAUGUAUAUUUAUGUGUAAUUCUGUAUAGUGCUCUGCUGAUAAGAUUAUUAAAAACUGAUAACUGGUUAAAAGAAUACUUAAGCAAAAAAUAUGGAUCGGCAAGGAAUAAGACAGGAAAUGUUUAAAUUGCUAUUAAUGUAUUCUUAGUCAUUCACACUUGUAGAAACUAGUUUGAAAUGAGAAAUAAAAUGUUCUUUUUACUGAGCUAAUAGAAACAUUACCUAUGGAAACAUGUAAUAUACAUAAAC